rnacentral:rRNA from 1 species
GAGCUUGCUCUCUGGGUGGCGAGUGGCGGACGGGUGAGGAAUACAUCGGAAUCUACCUUUUCGUGGGGGAUAACGUAGGGAAACUUACGCUAAUACCGCAUACGACCUUCGGGUGAAAGCAGGGGACCUUCGGGCCUUGCGCGGAUAGAUGAGCCGAUGUCGGAUUAACUAGUUGGCGGGGUAAAGGCCCACCAAGGCGACGAUCCGUAGCUGGUCUGAGAGGAUGAUCAGCCACACUGGAACUGAGACACGGUCCAGACUCCUACGGGAGGCAGCAGUGGGGAAUAUUGGACAAUGGGCGCAAGCCUGAUCCAGCCAUACCGCGUGGGUGAAGAAGGCCUUCGGGUUGUAAAGCCCUUUUGUUGGGAAAGAAAAGCAGCCAGUUAAUACCUGGUUGUUCUGACGGUACCCAAAGAAUAAACACCGGCUAACUUCGUGCCACAGCCGCGGUAAUACGAAGGGUGCAAGCGUUCUCGGAAUUACUGG